rnacentral:rRNA from 1 species
AUUGAACGCUGGCGGCAGGCCUAACACAUGCAAGUCGAGCGAGCGGCGGACGGGUGAGUAAUGUCUGGGAAACUGCCUGCUGGAGGGGGAUAACUACUGGAAACGGUAGCUAAUACCGCAUACAAUCAGAUGUGCCCAGAUGGGAUUAGCUAGUAGGUGGGGUAAUGUCUCACCUAGGCGACGCUCCCUAGCUGGUCUGAGAGGAUGACGAGCCACACUGGAACUGAGACAGGGUCCAGAUUCCUACGUGAGGCAGCAGUGGGGAAUAUGGCACAAGGGGCGCAAGCCGGAUGCAGCCAUGCCGCGUGUAGGAAGAAGGCCUUCGGGUUGUAAAGUACUUUCAGCGGGGAGGCGUUACCCGCAGAAGAAGCACCGGCUAACUCCGUGCCAGCAGCCGCGGUAAUUC